rnacentral:lncRNA from 1 species
UAAAAAGGGAAAAUUUUGAAGACACGGACUCAGGGAGAAUACCAUACGAGGAUGUGGAGUUAUACUGCCUCAAGCCAAGGCACUAGUGGAGGCAAGGACAGAAGCUUGGAAUGGAUCCUUCCCUAGGGCCUUCAGAGAGAACUUGGUCUGGCCAAUCCCUUGAUCUCAAGCUUCUAGAUCUUCAGAAUUCUGAGACAAUAAAUUCUGUUGUUUAACCAACUCAGUUUGUGAUACUUUGUUAUAGCAGCCCUAGGAAACUAAUACACACAUAGGAGCUUUUCCCUGCUUCAGCCUUAAAGACACAUGCCCUUUGUGCUCACAGUCCAUUGGUCAGAGGCAGUUCUGUGGCCCUACUGACCACAAAGGGACUGGGAAGAAUGCUUAGAAGAAGAUAAAUAGAUGUUGGCGCUUAACUUAUUUGACUAUGGCCAGCCCAGUCACAAGCAUAGAAUGAUAAUUCCUGGAAACCAGAUGUCAUGAGCUUAGCAGAAUCUGCAAUUACAUCUGACACCUUGAUGCCUUCCUUUCCUUUGGAACUUUCUUUCUUCUGUGGCAGCAGUCAGAAGCUUCCCCAAGGAGGGUGGAUGCUGACUCUCUCCGCCAUGGAGGUCUGACUUACUCCAGGGAAUCUCCAGUUGCCCGAAGCAGGAGUCACCCCCUGGACAGAAAAUCAAUUGAUCAAAACUUCCAUGAAUGGUUCACUCUCUGAAGUUGGUCUCAAAGACCUGCCAUCUGACUCUGAUCCUGUCAACAGGUGACCAGAGACAAGUUGCUUACCUUCUUUGGGAUAUGGUAGUCUUUGCCUGUGAAAUAAAAUGAUCUCCC